rnacentral:rRNA from 1 species
UACGAAGGGUGCAAACGUUGCUCGGAAUCAUUGGGCGUAAAGCGCACGUAGGCGGCUUUGCAAGUCGGAUGUGAAAUCCCUCGGCUCAACCAAGGAAGUGCAUCCGAAACUGCAGAGCUUGAGUACUUAAGAGGAUCGCGGAAUUCCCGGUGUAGAGGUGAAAUUCGUAGAUAUCGGGAGGAACACCAGUGGCGAAGGCGGCGAUCUGGGAAGAUACUGACGCUGAGGAGCGAAAGCGUGGGGAGCAAACAGG